UACAUCACAGGAUGGUUGGGAA
rnacentral:siRNA from 1 species